CGCUCAGUGAGCGGUUAUAAUAUCGAAUGCACCCAAUGCAGUCGAUAUACAGUUGUGAUACAGUGUCCGGAUAGACUCCAGGUAGUCCAGGGCAAGAGUCUAAAAAAAGCAGAUUGGAAAAAGUACUCUCCCUCUCUUUGCCAGAAGCCAUCCAAUCCCACAUAUAUAUGGCGACUGAAGCUAAUAUUAAACAAGCAAUAUCAAGUUGGCUACAUAAUUCAUCAUCCCGCUUAAAAAAUGAAAAAAGAAACAUCACUCCGACACAUUGUUGCUCCAAGAUGUUGAUAACACUGAUGAUGAAAAUAGUAUUUAAUAUUAUUCAUGUUUUGUUUUUAUUUUUCUAUGCAGUAACACAAAAGAAGAUAUUUAAAAAA